AUACGUAGGUGACAAGCGUUAUCCGGAUUUACUGGGCGUAAAGGGCGUGUAGGCGGUCUUGCAAGUCAGAAGUGAAAUUCCUGAGCUCAACUCGGGCGCUGCUUCUGAAACUGCAGGACUUGAGUGCUGGAGGGGAUAGCGGAAUUCCUAGUGGAGCGGUAAAAUGCGCAGAUAUUAGGAAGAACACCGGUGGCGAAGGCGGCAAUCUGGACAGUAACGGACGCUGAGGCGCAAAAGCGUGGGGAGAAAAAAGGAUUAGAUACCCUGGUAGUCCACGCUGUAAACGAUGAAUACUAGGUGUAGGGGGUAUCGACUCCCUCUGUGCCGCAGUUAACACAAUAAGUAUUCCGCCUGGGGAGUACGGCCGCAAGGUUGAAACUCAAAUGAAUUGACGGGG
rnacentral:rRNA from 1 species